GCUGAGCGGGAGCCGCGGGGGUCGCGGCCAUGGCGCUGCGAUGGACUCGGUGCCACCGGUAGAGCACACUCCUUGGAUUAUAAAUCAUUUAAGGCACAAUGGCAGAUCACAUCCGCUGGGCCCGUUACCAUUGGCAGCGACUGGUAUCUACAGAAGGUGGAGAAGGUAGCAGGAGCAGCCAUUCAAAUAACAAGUGCUAUCAAUCAUCAAAAACUAUUGGCAAACACAGGAUAGUGAUACCCUGUUUGGGACAUUUUAAGGAAGAGUAUGAAAAAGUAUCAAAACUGUACAUGAACAACAAAAUACGGACUACUAAAUAUACUUUAUGGAGUUUCUUACCACGGAAUUUAUUUGAACAGUUUCACAGAGUUGCCAAUUUGUAUUUCUUAUUUCUAGUUGUCCUGAAUUGGGUUCCUCUGGUGGAAGCCUUCCAAAAAGAAAUUACAAUGCUACCUCUAGUAGCUGUUCUGACAAUUAUUGCAGUGAAAGAUGGUCUGGAAGAUUACUCAAAGUACAAAAUGGAUAAACACAUAAACAACUUACUAACCAAAGUAUAUAGCAGGAAGGAGAAGAAAUACAUAGAUGAAUGCUGGAAAAAUGUCAAUGUUGGGGACUUCAUCCGGCUGUCACGUAAUGAAAUUGUUCCUGCUGACAUGGUGCUGUUGUAUUCUAGUGACCUGGAUGGGAUCUGUUACAUUGAAACAGCAGGCCUUGAUGGAGAAACCAAUCUAAAGCAGAGGCAGGUGGUGAGAGGGUAUUCAGAGCAGGUCUCUGAAAUUGAUCCAGAAAAGUUUUCUAGCAGAAUAGAGUGUGAAAGUCCUAACAAUGACCUCAGUCACUUCCAAGGCUUUGUUGAGCAUUCAAACAAGGAUCGAGUGGGCCUCAGCAAGGAAAACUUACUGCUCCGAGGAUGCACAGUAAGAAACACAGAAGCUGUUGUAGGCAUAGUGGUAUAUGCAGGUCAUGAAACCAAAGCAAUGCUGAAUAACAGUGGCCCUCAUUACAAACGCAGUAAAUUGGAAAGAAAAGUGAACACUGAUAUUCUUUGGUGCGUUCUGCUUCUAAUUUUCAUGUGUUUAACAGGUGCAAUAGGGCAUGGACUUUGGUUAAGUAGGUAUUCAGAAAUACCAUUUUUUAACAUCCCUGAGCCAGAUGGCAAAUCAAUUCCUCCAACAUUAGCUGGGUUCAAUAUGUUCUGGACGAUGAUCAUUUUAUUACAGGUCUUGAUCCCGAUUUCUCUCUACGUUUCAAUUGAAAUUGUCAAACUGGGACAAAUUUAUUUAAUACAGAAUGACAUUGAUUUUUACCAUGAGAAAACAGACUCAACCAUUCAGUGUCGAGCACUGAAUAUUGCUGAAGACCUUGGCCAGAUUCAGUAUAUCUUAUCUGACAAGACUGGAACCCUCACUGAAAAUAAGAUGGUUUUUCGGAGGUGCAGCAUUGCAGGACAGGAGUAUUGCCAUGAGGAAAAUGCAAAGAGGUUGGAAUCCUAUCAAGAGAUGGAUUCGGAGGAUGAGGAUUCAGCUGAUGAUCAGCAUGGCUCUUUGACCCAAAUGUCAAAAUGGCAGGAGCACAACUGCAGAGCAGGGAAUGAACCUUUGAAAAGAAAGUCUUUGAAUCAGUUGUCUGGUAGUUGCCCUGCAUUAGGAAGGGAAGAUGGAGCCAGUGAUGUUCCCCACUCAGGACAUGUUGCUUUCAGCAGCCCCAUCGAAACGGAUGUCGUACCAGACGCACAACUGCUGGAGAAGUUCAGUCACAUUUCUUUUCAUUCUUAUCAACAACCAGAAGCCAGCAGCAAGUUGUCUUUGGAGACGAUGUACAUCGCUGACUUCUUUCUUGCUCUGGCAAUCUGUAAUACUGUUGUAGUUUCAGUCCCCAAUCAGCCACGUCAGAAGAUGAGACCCCCUUUGCUGGGUAGGAUGCCUAUUAAAUCACUCGAGGAAAUCAGGCAGAUGUUCCAGAGGCUGUCAGUCCGAAGGCUAAGUUCUUCCCCACUUCCAAGUGUAAAAGAGUCAUCACCUGAAAGCCCCAGUAGUUUUGUGAGCAAACUGUCUAUUUUUAGAAUGAAACUGGCUUCACCUGCUUUGGAUGGAGCUGCUCAAGGGGCUGCUGAGCCCCACAAUACUGACAGCCCAGAAAAUUCCCGAGUGCCUCAAGAACUACAUGGAGUGAAUGUUGCUGCUGGCUGUGAAAACAACAGUGUUACGUCAUCUAUCAAGUUGUCUCCCUUAUCUAAAGUGUGUUAUGAAGCUGAGAGUCCAGAUGAAGCUGCCUUGGUUCAUGCUGCUAGGGCUUAUAAAUGUAUUUUACAGUCUAGGACUCCUGAGCAAAUUACUGUUGACUUUGCAAAUCUGGGAUCUUUAACAUUUCAGCUCUUGCAUAUCCUGCCUUUUGAUUCAGUGCGGAAGAGGAUGUCAGUGGUGGUUCGGCAUCCAGUCUCCAACAAAGUGGUGGUGUACACAAAAGGUGCAGACUCAGUCAUGAUGGAUUUGUUGAGAACUGCAUCUGAAGCAGGUAAUCAUUCAGCAAUGGAACAGAAGAAGAUUAAAGAGAGAACUCAGAAGCAUUUGGAUGAAUAUGCCAGAAGAGGAUUGCGCACUCUGUGUAUUGCUAAGCGGGUGAUGAGUGACGCAGAAUAUGCAGAGUGGUUAAAAGACCAUUUUUUAGCGGAAACCAGUAUUGACAAUAGGGAGGAGCUGCUGCUUGAAUCUGCCUUCAGCCUUGAAACUGAACUAACUUUGCUUGGUGCCACAGGCAUUGAAGAUCGUCUGCAGGAGGGAGUUCCAGACACAAUACAGGCAUUACGGAAAGCGGGAAUAAAAAUAUGGAUGCUGACAGGUGACAAGAGAGAAACAGCUGUCAACAUUGCCUAUGCUUGUAAACUGUUGGAACCAGAUGACAGAAUCUUCACUCUUAAAUCACAGAGUAGGGAUGCCUGUGCCUUGGUGAUGAGCAAAAUUUUAGAAGGCAUUCAGAAGAAUACUUCUGCCAAGAAAAAAAACAGUCAGAAACUUUGGGAUGUCUCUGCAAGUCCCUCCACCCAGUCUCUGGGGUUCAGUGCAGGACUGGUUAUUGAUGGAAGGACUUUAGAGCAUGUCCUUCAUGACAGCCUUCAGAAUAUUUUCUUGGAACUGGCAGAAAGAUGUCGGGCUGUAGUCUGCUGCCGAGCCACACCACUGCAGAAGAGUGUCCUGGUCAGGCUGGUGCGAAACAAGCUACAGGCAAUGACGUUGGCUGUUGGUGAUGGUGCCAAUGAUGUCAGUAUGAUCCAGGUGGCUGACAUUGGUGUGGGAAUAUUGGGCCAAGAAGGCAUGCAGGCUGUGAUGGCAAGUGACUUUGCAAUCUCCCAGUUUAGACACCUCAGGAAGCUGCUACUUGUCCAUGGUCACUGGUGUUAUACCAGACUUACCAACAUGGUGCUUUACUUCUUCUACAAGAACGUGGCCUACGUAAACCUCCUGUUCUGGUAUCAGUUCUUCUGUGGGUUCUCAGGCACGUCAAUGACUGACUUUUGGAUCUUGAUUCUUUUCAAUCUCCUUUUUACAUCGGUGCCACCCAUCAUUUAUGGUGUCUUGGACAAAGAUGUGUCUGCAGAGAUCCUCAUGCAGCUCCCACAGCUGUACAUGAUGGGCCAGAAAUCUGUGGCCUACUUGCCUUCAGCUUUCUGGAUAACCUUGCUGGAUGCUUUUUACCAAAGUCUCAUUUGCUUUUUUGUGCCUUAUUUUACUUACUAUGGCUCAGACAUAGACAUUUUUUCUUUUGGAAACCCCAUCAACACAGCAGCACUCUUCAUCAUACUAUUUCACCUUCUCAUUGAGUGCAAGUCUGUGACAUGGAUACAUACAGUCGUUAUAGCUGGUAGCAUCCUGUUGUACUUUGUCUUCGCUCUGGCUUUUGGGGCAACCUGCAAAACCCACAACCCAUCAUCAAAUCCCUACUGGAUCAUGGAAAAGCACAUGACAGACCCAGUAUUUUACUUAAUUUGUCUCCUGACUACUUGUGUUGCUCUGCUACCCAGGUAUUUGCUGAGAGUUCUCCAAGGAACAUUGUUUCCAUCUCCAGUGUUGAGAGCCAAGCACCUUGAUAGACUGAGCCCCACAAUGCAGAGGGAAGCAGUUAAGAGAUGGAGAGAUGACUGCAUUGUCAACUACAGAGUGGAGUUCCAGGCUACUUCUGGGUCUUCCAGCUUAGCCACAGGUGCUGUAUCAGAGGAAGAAAGCAUGACCAGUGCUUCACCAGCAUCUAAAAUACCUCUUUAGGCCUGUUUAAGAGAUGGGUUAGCAGAGGACACCUCCUUCUUACCAGACAUUCAGGGUGAGUCUGGGAAUACAAAUGAAACUUGAACUCUGAAAAGACUGUACCUCUGAAUUCAUCAAAGGAAACUAAUGCAGACAUGUUUGCUGAUAACAACUCGUGCCAAAGUCUCUGUGUGUGCUUCUGAAGGGGGCAGCAGUGCUGUUUCUCUAGCACACAAAGCAGGUUUAGAUUCUGUUUUCUGUGAAGAAGAUGCUUUAAUGAAUUUUACAAAGUUGGAACGGUAACUGUGUAAAACCCAAGAGUAAGAACUGCUGGUUUAUGCUACAUCUUGGUUUUGUUUUCUUCAGCCAAAGGUAGAUGAUGCGCACAUUUCCUUAAAAGCUUUUUGUUUAUAAAGCUUUUCAAUAAUUUAUUAAGAUGUUCAAGAUCUAAAUGGCUGGGUUGUUUUUUAAUUUUUUUUCACACAGUAGACUUUGCAAACUGCUUGUUUCUCGUAUGCAACAUUGUAUAACACCUCGUGGUGUUACGGACGGGAGAAUGCGGGAGUGCGGAUUUGCAGGAUCUGGGUCAGGAUUUACCACUUGCUGAAGUACGAAGUAAGCAGAAGGCUGGCAUGUGAUGUUACUGGGUGGCUUGUUGCAAGACUCCUCCAGUAUGUGUGUACAGUCAUUGUUUUAACCAUCAGAAGAGUGGUCCAGAUGAGGCACAUAUGUUGCAUGUCUCUCUCACCUUCCUCUUCCAGAAUAAGCACAAGUCCUAGUGUGGCCUUUUGUUCUCCAUGAUAGUUCAUCCUCCUGCUACAUCCUUCCUUUUUGUCUCCAUGACCAUUUCAUGUAAUUUGCCACAGACUGUACUUUUCCUCUUCAGAUGUUGGCUGCCUGACUUGUUUCCAAACUGUACUUCAUGCCUGCACUGCAGAAUUGUCUGCAAGUGCCAGUGGGUCCCUCCAGUCUGUCUUCAGGUCUUAUCUUACAAAGAACAGCUUCUAGCUGAUGUCAUUACUGCUCUUCACUCUAAGGUGUUUUUACAUUCCUCCAGAUUUUAAAAAUAAAGAGCUUAACUAUCUAUAAAGGCUGCACAAAAGAAGGUAUAGCCCACUGCAUGUCCCAGAUUUGAGCUCUGUGCUUAUCUGUCUUGGAGUUGUCCUGCCUCUGCCAGUUUCCCACUGCUCUGCACGCUGCACAAAAGCUGGCUGAGGUGCAUGUGCCUAUUUCUGGAUUCCAGACUGUCUAUUGCCUUCUUUUUACUUCCCUCCCAAGAAGUUACAUGGCCAAUUUAUGGAGGAACUUAGGAAAUCAUUUGUAUCCACUAGCACCUGUUGAAAUAAAGGUUUCCUCGAACUGUA